rnacentral:rRNA from 1 species
CGAAGGUUUUUGGAUCGUAAACCCCUUUUGUCAAGGAAGAAGCUCUGACGGUACUUGACGAAUAAGCCUCGGCUAACUCCGUGCCAGCAGCCGCGGUAAUACGGAGGAGGCAAGCGUUAUCCGGGAUGAUUGGGCGUAAAGCGUCUGUAGGUGGCCAGCUAAGUCUGCUGUUAAAGAUCACAGCUCAACUGUGGGAAGGCAGUGGAAACUGGCAAGCUAGAGGUUGGUAGGGGUAAAGGGAAUUCCCGGUGUAGCGGUGAAAUGCGUAGAUAUCGGGAAGAACACCGGUGGCGAAAGCGCUUUACUGGGCCAGACCUGACACUGAAGGACGAAAGCUAGGGGAGCGAAAGGGAUUAGAUACCCCUGUAGUC